AUUGAACGCUGGCGGCAGGCCUAACACAUGCAAGUCGAACGAGUGGCGGACGGGUGAGUAAUGUCUGGGAAACUGCCUGAUGGAGGGGGAUAACUACUGGAAACGGUAGCUAAUACCGCAUACCAUCGGAUGUGCCCAGAGGGGAUUAGCUAGUCGGUGGGGUAACGGCUCACCUAGGCGACGAUCCCUAGCUGGUCUGAGAGGCUGACCGGCCACACUGGCACUGAGACACGGUCCAGACUCCUACGGGAGGCAGCAGUAGGGAAUAUUGCACAAUGGGCGCAAGCCUGAUGCAGCCAUGCCGCGUGUGUGAAGAAGGCCUUCGGGUUGUAAAGUACUUUCAGCGGGGAGGCGUUACCCGCAGAAGAAGCACCGGCUAACUCCGUGCCAGCCGCCGCGGUAAUAC
rnacentral:rRNA from 1 species